UACAGAGACUGCAAGCGUUAUUCGGAUUCACUGGGCGUAAAGGGCGUGUAGGCGGGAAGGAAAGUCAGAUGUGAAAUCCCCAGGCUCAACCUGGGAACUGCAUUUGAAACUCCCUUUCUUGAGUACCGGAGAGGAAAGUGGAAUUCCUGGUGUAGAGGUGAAAUUCGUAGAUAUCAGGAGGAACACCAGUGGCGAAGGCGGCUUUCUGGACGGUAACUGACGCUGAGGUGCGAAAGCGUGGGAGCAAACAGG
rnacentral:rRNA from 1 species